rnacentral:rRNA from 1 species
CACGUAGGAGCAAACGUUAUCCGGAUUUACCUGGGCGUAAACGCGCGUGUAGGUGGUUCUGUAAGCAGGGCGUGAAAGCUCCCGGCUCAACUGGGAGAGGCCGUUCUAAACUGCAGAGCUAGAGGAUGGUAGAGGGAGGUGGAAUUCCAGGUGUAGCGGUGGAAUGCGCAGAUAUCUGGAGGAACACCAGUGGCGAAGGCGGCCUCCUGGACCAUUCCUGACACUCAGACGCGAAAGCUAGGGCAGCAAACGGGAUUAGAUACCCCCGGUAGU